GUGGAACAAUUUGUUAUCAGUCUGGAAAAGAGGUGAUGGCAGGAUCAAGACAGCAACUCAGCUCUUCUCCAUUUGAGACAGAAACACCUUUUUUGACCUGUAUUUUUGAUGACAAAUGUGCCUGAAAUAUGAUACCAGCCUGAAAUGAUACCCAGCCUGAGAAAUGGCUAAAUGAUAUUUAUGAACCAGGUCCUGCUGUCCUUGGACUUGAUCCUGCAUAAGCAUAUUGGAGGACCAACCACAGAUACUGCUCCAAUGAGGUGAAGUCCUGGUAGAGUGCCUCAAGCACUGAAAUCCCAUGAGGACAAAACCAUGGACAUAUCUAGGGAUGCCAAGCACAGAACCAGGACUGAGAACAGAGGCUCACACUGUACAAAUCCACACCCUUCACCUCCUUUCCCCAGAGAGACUCCAAACCACACGAGCAGGAGGCACAGCAGCUCCUUGACUUCAGCUAAUUGCCAUGUUCCCUCGAAGGAGGAGUGAUGCCUCACCCAAGUUUCUCUGCUAUGGAUGUGAGGAGCUGAUCUCGGAAUUAUUCAGUGGUUUCUUACAUCAUUCCUCUGUUCCCAGCCAUGCCACAAGGCUUUCAGAAGGCUAUGAAACCAAGAAUGAGAGACAAGUGUGAGCCUUCCUCCAGCCCCUUCUGUCAUCUGGGCAUGCUCGUGCCACGUGUCACUACAGACAUUUGGGACAUCUGGAACGGGUUCAUUAGGAAAGUUCCUCUGUCUGGUUCAGUGCCUGGUCACAGCGAGUUUUCCUGGCACAAGCGAGUGGAAAGAGCACUUUGGCAUGGAGAGGAAAUGAGCAGCAGAGGGUGAAAGGUGUCCUGCCAGGCACUUCCCAUUUGUGUCCUUAUCCCAGUUUCCAGACAUCUUCAGAGGCUUCCCAGCUACUGUGUCCUGCAAGUUCAAAACCCUGCAGCCCACUGGGACUGGGAAUGUGUGAAGGAGCACAAGGAUUGGAGUUGAAUGACAGUGAUAAAUAGGGAGCCGCCUGCCCCUGGGGGCCAUGCACUGUGUUCCUCCCCCAGAGUGUGCAAAUAUUUGCAGCAGAGCAGCCUCUGAGCCCCGAGACGUGAGCAGCGACACGAGGAGGUGCAGCCCAGGGCAGGGGCAAGGCCAGAGGGUGUGAAACCAGCACACAGCCCCCGGGCUCAUAUGGAGAAUUCAAGUUUAGAAGUUACAUAUUGGUAUAAAAAUCCAUAAUUCUGCAGCUGGGUUGUGUCACCUCAUGCCAUCAGCAGGUCUCCCCUCACCAUGGCUCUAGCAGAGAGGCACAAGCUCCAAUGAGAAACAGGUGGCUGCCUGGCUGUUACAAUUUAUCAUGAACGCAUCUCACUUCACUUCUGGCUCCUCUGACGGAAGGAACAGCCGGUCUCCGGGAGGUCAAAGACAUUAUUUUCCCCUAGUCUUUCUCAGUUUCCAGCACAUAUUUGUCACUUUGAAAAAGCAUGAAUUCUGGAUUUGAUGCACUUUAAUUGAUUUCACCCUCAACAAGUCCAACUGUCCAUCAACCUUUCCUUUUUCUUUCCUCUCCCCCUUCUUCACUUCUUUCCUCUGUCCCUUUGCUUUGAGAGUGAUGUUUUCACCCGCCUGCAUGUUGGAGCUGUCGCAAAGCCCAUGACCCUAUCAAGGCUUACUUAGCCAUUGCUCUCAUUCUCCCUAUCCUCCAAGUUCAACUUUGGAUGCUGAAUGAGAAUGAAGUAGGAGUAGUGAGUUGUAGAAUCUCAGUGAUGUGCUCCUUGUCAAAGUAAACGCGGUGGCUGAGGGUCCGCUUAUUUUGAGAUGACUGUGUACAACUGGAAGUGUGAGGGAACUGAUUCAUUAUAUGCUGGCAUUGGUAUUUAAAACAUUUUGCAGAGUUAUGGCAUAGAUGAACAUGUUGUUUCUUUCCUUCUGGAAGGAUGAGUAUUCCUGGUGCUGUGCAUAUAUCCAGGGUUGUGUGGUUGUAAUUUUGGUUUGUAAAAUGGUGUUGUGCCCUCCUAAAUGGAGAUCAUAUCAUCAUACAGCAUCCUGAGUUGCGAGGGGUCCACAAAGACCAUCCCAAAAAUCCUAUGAGAUGCCAUUACACUCUUGUUUGGGUAAUUCUUCUGGCACAAGUGGUGAAACAGAAUAAAUGUGGGCGUGUAAGAACUUGUCCUUUGCACAGAAACCCUCAGAGUGUGUCCUGGAAACCAGGGCCUGCUUCUGGUGGAAGCUAAAAGAGUCACAGGUGUUCUCUGGGUGCUGACAUUACAUCCUGGAUACUGUCAGGACAUGGGGCAGGAGCAGGCAUUCCAAGUUCUCUGCCCUGUUAUGAGGUGUUCACCGGACCUCUGCAGGGAGAAGGGUGUUCCUGGGGCCCUUGUGCGCUCACUGAGGAGCUCCAGCUCUCAGGAUUUGCCAGUGGAAGUGCUCCAGAUGCUUCCCUGAAGUCUCAGCAGCAGAAGGGCUAGUUUAAAAGUCCUGAGCAGCAGGCUGGGAACACCUCCUUUCCUUGGGAACAAACAGGCUGGGAAUGCCUCCAUUCCUCUGGAACAGCAGGCUCAGCUCUGCAGCCAGCUCAGCCUUUCCCCUUUCUGAGGGCAAUAAAUCGAAUACCAUUCCAUUUACUGCCUGCCCACAAGUUUCAAGUGGAAGAGGUGAAGCAGAGCCUGAGGCCAGCCACUCCAUGGGCACAAAUCAGUGUGGCUGUGCUGGCUUACUCCAGCUGUGGGGCUGGCCCCAAGGUUUUGUGUUCACAUUAUCCUGAGGCUCUUAUUGCAGGAAUGCAGGGUUGGCCAGAUGUGCUGGUCACAGCAUCCCCUCCCAAAGUGACAGGGUACCAGCUGCCACUCCCUGCCCUUGGAGCAGCCUGGUGUGGCCUGCCUGCAGCACGGAAGGUGCUCUGGGAUCCUUGGGAAUAGCCACCAGCACAUCAGUGCUAGCCCUGUUCCAGGACACGACACUGAGAGAAUAAGAGCAGUCGAGGAACUUUUCCCCCUUCGACGUGAUGUUCAUCUCCUCCCCCAACCCAGCAUAUGGAAUUCUGGAUCACAUUUCUCUCUCUUGCCAAUAAAUAUUGCAGAUUUAUUGCUCUCUA